CACGUAGGGUGCGAGCGUUGUCCGGAAUUAUUGGGCGUAAAGAGCUCGUAGGCGGUGUGUCGCGUCGGCCGUGAAAACCUGCAGCUUAACUGUGGGCGUGCGGUCGAUACGGGCAUCACUGGAGUUCGGCAGGGGGAGACUGGAAUUCCUGGUGUAGCGGUGAAAUGCGCAGAUAUCAGGAGGAACACCAAUGGCGAAGGCAGCUCUCUGGUAACAUGGAUUGACGUGAGACGCGAAAAGCGUGGGGGAGCGAAACAGG
rnacentral:rRNA from 1 species